rnacentral:miRNA from 15 species
AGGGGUGCUGUCUGUGAUUGAGG